ensembl:lncRNA
AAAUUUCGCACCCACUCAACGAGCUUACAUCCUCCCAGAACAGAAGUUUGGAGGGGAGCAUGAAAGAAACAGAAGUCAGGCGAUUUAUCAGAAUGAGACAGGCAUGUAUAGCGCGGAGUUCAGCCUUCAGUCCAUCUGCAGCGCUCCUUCUGAGGUGUUACUCCCGUGUUAGUGAACUGCUGCUCCUCAAGUGGCUCCGCUGGAGGGUUCUGGCCCCGAUGACUCAUGCCAUCUGUUAACAGCUCUUGUACGAUCACAUUUCUGUGUUCCUUCCAAUAAACAGAAAGCUCCAGUGAUUUUGCAGCGUUGUUUUGACGAUCCAGAGAAACACUCAGAAGAACCUACAGAAGGAGUACUACCACCAAUGUCCAAAACAUUACAAAGAUUAAUUUACAAACAAGGCACAAUUCGACGUGGGAUUUUCAGAAAGACUAUAUUGGAUCCAACAGUAAUGUCACAACACACAAGUGUGAGUAACUGUUUUUAUUAUGUGGUCACUAUUGCUUUGUCUCUUCUUACAGAUCGCUUGAUAUGUACUGAGUAUUUAUGCGUUCAAACAUACACAACUGUUAGCCAAUCAUAG